UACGUAGGUGGCAAGCGUUGUCCGGAUUUACUGGGCGUAAAGAGCGCGCAGGCGGUCGUUCAAGUCGCGUGUGAAAGCCCCCGGCUCAACUGGGGAGGGUCACGCGAUACUGAUCGACUCGAAGGCAGGAGAGGGAAGUGGAAUUCCCGGUGUAGUGGUGAAAUACGUAGAGAUUGGGAAGAACACCAGUGGCGAAGGCGGCUAUCUGGACGGUUUCUGACGCUAAGACGCGAAAGCGUGGGGAGCAAACAGG
rnacentral:rRNA from 1 species